rnacentral:rRNA from 1 species
GACGAACGCUGGCGGCGUGCUUAACACAUGCAAGUCGAACGAUGAAGCGCCAGCUUGCUGGUGUGGAUUAGUGGCGAACGGGUGAGUAACACGUGAGUAACCUGCCCCCUACUCUGGGAUAAGCCGGGGAAACUGGGUCUAAUACUGGAUAUGACCAAUCACUGCAUGGUGUGUUGGUGGAAAGAUUUUUUGGUGGGGGAUGGACUCGCGGCCUAUCAGCUUGUUGGUGGGGUAAUGGCCUACCAAGGCGACGACGGGUAGCCGGCCUGAGAGGGCGACCGGCCACACUGGGACUGAGACACGGACCAGACUCCUACGGGCGGCAGCAGUGGGGAAUAUUGCACACUGGGCGAAAGCCUGAUGCAGCGACGCCGCGUGAGGGAUGACGGCCUUCGGGUUGUAAACCUCUUUCACCAGGGACGAAGCUAACGUGACGGUACCUGGAGAAGAAGCACCGGCUAACUACGUG